AACGAACGCUGGCGGCAUGCCUAACACAUGCAAGUCGAACGAAACCUUCGGGUCUAGUGGCGCACGGGUGCGUAACGCGUGGGAACCUGCCCUUAGGUUCGGAAUAACUCCCCGAAAGGGGUGCUAAUACCGGAUAAUGUCUUCGGACCAAAGAUUUAUCGCCUUUGGAUGGGCCCGCGUUGGAUUAGCUAGUUGGUAGGGUAAAAGCCUACCAAGGCGACGAUCCAUAGCUGGUCUGAGAGGAUGAUCAGCCACACUGGGACUGAGACACGGCCCAGAAUCCUACGGGAGGCAGCAGUGGGGAAUAUAGGACAAUGGGGGAAAGCAUGAUCCAGCAAUGCCGCGUGAGUGAUGAAGGCCUUAGGGUUGUAAAGCUCUUUUACCCGGGAUGAUAAUGACAGUACCGGGAGAAUAAGCUCCGGCUAACUCCGUG
rnacentral:rRNA from 1 species